AGUGAACGCUGGCGGUAGGCCUAACACAUGCAAGUCGAACGGCAGCACAGUAAGAGCUUGCUCUUACGGGUGGCGAGUGGCGGACGGGUGAGGAAUACAUCGGAAUCUACUUUUUCGUGGGGGAUAACGUAGGGAAACUUACGCUAAUACCGCAUACGACCUACGGGUUAAAGCAGGGGAUCUUCGGACCUUUCGCGAUUGAUUGAGCCGAUUUCGGAUUAGCUAGUUGGCGGGGUAAAGGCACGCCAAGGCGACGCUCCGUAGCUGGUCUGAGAGGAGGACCAGCCACACUGGAACUGAGACACGUUCCGGACUCCUAGGGGAGGCAGCAGUGGGGAAUAUUCGACAAUGGGCGCAAGCCUGAUCCAGCCAGCCCGCGUGGUGGAAGAAGGCUUUCGGGUUGUAAACUCCUUUUGUUGGGAAAGAAAAGCAGGAGGUUAAUACCCCGCUGUUCGGACGGUACCAAAAGAAUAAGCACCGGCUAACUUCGG
rnacentral:rRNA from 1 species